CAGCCGCCACGGGAAUACGGAGGGUGCAAGCGUUAAUCGGAAUUACUGGGCGUAAAGCGCACGCAGGCGGUCUGACAAGUCAGAUGUGAAAUCCCCGGGCUUAACCUGAAAACUGCAUUUGAAACUGUCAGGCUGGAGUCUUGUAGAGGGGGGUAGAAUUCCAGGUGUAGCGGUGAAAUGCGUAGAGAUCUGGAGGAAUACCGGUGGCGAAGGCGGCCCCCUGGACAAAGACUGACGCUCAGGUGCGAAAGCGUGGGGAGCAAACAGGAUUAGAUACCCGUGUAGUCCCUGUCUCUUAUAU
rnacentral:rRNA from 1 species